GAACGCACAUGACUAAGCAUCUCUAACCAUGAUCUAUAAAGCUGUUAAUAGCUGGAUAUUCAAAGGGAGCCCACGUGGCUCUACAUAACCCAUGUGCGUAAGGCCUAAAAUUAAUAUUAUGUGUUGCUUCGACAUCUGGUAAAACCGAGAGGGCCUCAAAUGGCCUCACUGCAAGUUCCCUGCCACGCUCUGCUCCUGCAGGUAGUGAAGCACCACAGGAAAUAAUCUCCAGGGAUGGAGUGAACAAAUCUAAUCUAAACUGUCUGAAGGCACCGUUUCAUUGCAGUAUCAACCCUUCCUUUGCCAAAAUCUUCAGAACAGUUGGCUAUAUACCAUAACGCACUGAGGGUUUGGAGGAGGGGAGAGUAAUUAAGGAAGAGCUAGGUAAUUAAGGAAGAGCUGUGCCACAAGACAAUGACACAUAAACGGAUGGUGAGUCGAUCUGCAACGUGAACUAAUUCAGCAGCAAAUGAUUAUGCCAGAAGGGACUGUGAAAAUGCAAACCUCCAUGGGAACUGGCAGAAAUUCUGUGGAAAGCUUUGGACUUCUGAAGGUCAAAUAUUGAAGUGCUGAACAUUCAGGGUUCCAGAAUCAUCUCAGACUAUUUGGCAGACUGCAGCUGUGACCCAGUGGUACUUCAUAGACUACCUACGAGGAUACAAAAUGGCAACAGUGAAAAUGCAUACAAUAAUGACUCAAUAUUAAAUUUUCUGGAAAUUAAGUCACUCGGUAACCUGGAUGGCCAACACGACUUUUGUGACUUACUGAGGAAA